GUUUGGUAUUUUGUUACUAUAUCUUGGUUAUAUGAGAACAUAACACAUCCUUGCUUUCAGAGAAACUAACCCGGCUGCUUCAUGGAAAACAAGUGCUGUCAAGUAACAUGUACAUAGGUCACAUUUAAAAGUGUCUAUCAAGUUUUCACUUGGCUGCAGAAAGCCCCAAGCUUACAUACGAAUACUGGAGAGAUUGUACGGAAGAAAACAUUUCAGGCUGGAGAUUUUACAUUUCAAAUAUUCAAGAAUCCCUGAAAGUCCUGCAGAUUCCCACUGUACAGUUAUCAGCCAGAGGUGGUAUGGAGUGGGACAGGACCCAUAUGCAUGCACACACUGAAUACAGGAGUGAGAGGAGAGUGUGACACACACGGAGACUGAGAGACAGAGUCCUGGUGUACAAGUGUGCGGAGCUGAGACUGGGAGUAGAUCUCAGCUACAGAGACUCACAGUGUUCCAGUGCAUGCUGCGUCAUCUUCUCUACAGGCGGAGUCAGACUGCACGGCUGUGCAGUCCUCCAUGCUUCACCACCACAGACAUCUCCUG